ACAGGUUGUUAUAGGGCAGGAACACACAGCUCUCCACAGAGGAAGAAGAAGAGGACAGUGUUACACUGCUAUUACCUCGUCUCAUCUCCAUGAACAGGUUGUUAUAGGGCAGGAACACACAGCUCUCCACAGAGGAAGAAGAAGAGGAGGACAGUGUUACACUGCUAUUACCUAGUCUCAUCUCCAUGAACAGGUUGUUAUAGGGCAGGAACACACAGCUCUCCACAGAGGAAGAAGAGGAGGAGGACAGUGUUACACUGCUAUUACCUAGUCUCAUCUCCAUGAACAGGUUGUUAUAGGGCAGGAACACACAGCUCUCCACAGAGGAAGAAGAAGAGGACAGUGUUACACUGCUAUUACCUCGUCUCAUCUCCAUGAACAGGUUGUUAUAGGGCAGGAACACACAGCUCUCCACAGAGGAAGAAGAAGAGGAGGACAGUGUUACACUGCUAUUACCUCGUCUCAUCUCCAUGAACAGGUUGUUAUAGGGCAGGAACACACAGCUCUCCACAGAGGAAGAAGAAGAGGAGGACAGUGUUACACUGCUAUUACGUAGUCUCAUCUCCAUGAACAGGUUGUUAUAGGGCAGGAACACACAGCUCUCCACAGAGGAAGAAGAAGAGGAGGAGGACAGUGUUACACUGCUAUUACCUAGUCUCAUCUCCAUGAACAGGUUGUUAUAGGGCAGGAACACACAGCUCUCCACAGAGGAAGAAGAGGAGGAGGACAGUGUUACACUGCUAUUACCUAGUCUCAUCUCCAUGAACAGGUUGUUAUAGGGCAGGAACACACAGCUCUCCACAGAGGAAGAAGAGGAGGAGGACAGUGUUACACUGCUAUUACCUAGUCUCAUCUCCAUGAACAGGUUGUUAUAGGGCAGGAACACACAGCUCUCCACAGAGGAAGAAGAAG